UACGUAGGGUCCGAGCGUUGUCCGGAGUUACUGGGCGUAAAGCGCGCGCAGGCGGUCCGCGAGGUGUCACGUGAAAGCCCCGGGCUCAACUCGGGAGGGUCGUGGCAAACCGGCGGGCUUGAGGCCGGUAGAGGUGGGUGGAACUCCUGGUGGAGUGGUGAAAUGCGUAGAGAUCAGGAAGAACACCCGUGGCGAAGGCGGCCCACUGGGCCGGAACUGACGCUGAGGCGCGAAGGCGUGGGGAGCGAAUGGG
rnacentral:rRNA from 1 species